AGAGAGUCAAGUCGUAUAAUUGAUUACCUUUUGUCUUAAUGUCAGAAAUUUGAAAAAUUUUAAAAUUCAAUCCUCUUUGCAUUACAUGUGUUUGUAUUAUGAUACGUUGCAUUUGCAUGACCGUUGUGGUCACACCCUUAAGUGGGAGUGAGAAACUACGCCUUCGUGAGGUUUUCGCCUCCGUGCAAGAUAGUGGAUCACUUUCGGGAUACAUCCGUACUUAUGGUUUCGUGAGAUUUUCAUCUCCGUGUAGCCAUAAGGAAAUGUAUUCC
rnacentral:lncRNA from 1 species